rnacentral:rRNA from 1 species
AUUGAACGCUGGCGGCAUGCCUAACACAUGCAAGUCGAACGAGUAGCGGACGGGUGAGUGAUUGAUGGGAAAGUGGCUGAUGGAGGGGGAUAACUACUGGAAACGGUAGCAAAUACCGCAUACCAUCAGAUGGGCACAGGUGGGCUUAGCUUGUUGGUGUGGUAACGGCUCAUCAAGGCGACGAUCCUUAGCGGGUCGGAGAGGCUGACCGGCCACACUGGAACUGAGACACGGUCCAGACUCCUACGGGAGGCAGCAGUGGGGAAUAUUGCACAAGGGGCGCAAGCCUGAUCCAGCAAUGCCGCGUGUAUGAAGAAGGCCUUCGGGUUGUAAAGUACUUUUAGCGGGGAGGCGUUACCCGCAGAGAAAGCACCGGCUAACUCCGUGCCAGCAGCCGCGGUAAUAC